GAAAAGGAGAGAAAAAAGCGAGAUGGAGUGCAAGAUAGGAGUGGUGGUUGGAGGGCAACAAAGUGGCCACUCCAAUGGAGCACGAGGAAGUGAGGCUGGCUUCUGGUUAGCUGGAGGGGUUCCCACAGCGCUGAACAUUGCCUUUGUUCUUAAAAAUGGCAGCUCAGGGUGUACCCUGCCUCCAGCACUCCUGUGACCCUUGUGAGGAGCCAAACCACCAUGGGUACCAUGAGUUGAAGGAGACUGCACCAUUUAGUCAUUACUAGGCCUCCUAUGGACUGAAUCAAUGUGAAAACUUGGGAAGGAAGGCUUUGGACACUCUAAAUUAGUACUAUAUCCACAAAGCAUGUGACACAAAUUCUAGUUUGCCUCAAGAUUCAUGUGAGUGAAGUUAUAAUUACCCUUUUGUACUGAGAAAGUUGACAUUGUUUUUCAUUUAUCCCUCUCUCCCAGCUACUCACAAAUACAACACAUAUAAAAGCUCGGUCAUAUCACAUUGACUGUACUGUGCAGAAAAAACAACACUGAGUCCAAGUUUAAGUAAAAUAGAGGGACAUGAACUUAUUCAGAGUUGUACUCGUUUUCAUGCAUUAACUUUGAUAAAAUGAGUAAAAUUAUUACGUGAAUUUAAGCUGUGUAUUUAUACUGCGUGAUACUACAUAAACAAUAUUCGAGUCCAUACUGUCUUAUUGUGUUUGAAGGGGUUCAAAGAAUAGCAAGGCAUAUUCCAUGAUGCAAGGAUUUAUUAACAACUGAAGCCAACGAGCUUCUAAA